rnacentral:rRNA from 1 species
AGUGAACGCUGGCGGUAGGCCUAACACAUGCAAGUCGAACGGCAGCACAGGAGAGCUUGCUCUCUGGGUGGCGAGUGGCGGACGGGUGAGGAAUACAUCGGAAUCUACUCUGUCGUGGGGGAUAACGUAGGGAAACUUACGCUAAUACCGCAUACGACCUACGGGUGAAAGCAGGGGAUCUUCGGACCUUGCGCGAUUGAAUGAGCCGAUGUCGGAUUAGCUAGUUGGCGGGGUAAAGGCCCACCAAGGCGACGAUCCGUAGCUGGUCUGAGAGCAUGGUCGGCCACCCUGGAACUGAGACACGGUCCAGACUCCUACGGGAGGCAGCAGUGGGGAAUAUUGGACAAUGGGCGCAAGCCUGAUCCAGCCAUACCGCGUGGGUGAAGAAGGCCUUCGGGUUGUAAAGCCCUUUUGUUGGGAAAGAAAUCCAGCUGGCUAAUACCCGGUUGGGAUGACGGUACCCAAAGAAUAAGCACCGGCUAACUUCGUGCCAGCAGCCGCAGUAA